GUGGGCCAAACCCCAGCCAGUUCCACACAUCGAGGCUGUGUCAGCGCCGCAGGCCUCCCUCCCUGUCCCUCCUCCCUCCCUGGUCGGCGCUUUCCCUCCCAGGCUUUCUCCCGCCCUCCUGCCCUGGGCCCCUCUCCCAGCCCCACCCCGUGCCUGCCUGGGCCCUCGCUUCCCCUCCAGCCUCCUCCCUUGCCCUUUCUCCAUUGCUUGGUUCUCCAGCCAGCUUCCCCCUGUCUUGCACUUUCCUACCUCCUCCUUGGUCUGUGGGAUGGACAUGGGCCUAGUGGGGAGAGAGUGCCCCCAGAGGGCAACAGGCCAGUCGCUGCCCCUAAAGACUGCCUGCUUGACCUAGCACCGUGGAAACCUGCCCAGCCUGCCUUGCUCACCACCUCCCGUGGUCCUACGUCUGAUUGCUGGCAGAGCUCUGUCUGGUUCUGGAGCCUUUGGGAUUCCCCAAACCCUGAGUGAGAAAGUUCACCUUCCAGGACUUUCCGUGCUCCUCUGGCAAGGACAACAUGGGCAAAGUGCUAAGAUUUUGGACUACGAGGUUUGGCGCUGCCAGUGCUCUCAGGACAGGAAGGGCACAGGUCUUGAACCCUGAAGAUGAAGAGAGAUGGAGCAGGUGCUAAUCACCAGGCCUCUUCCAGAGCGGCUGGAGGUAAGUGCCGGGCUCCAGGCUCCAAUCUCCACCCAGAUGGAGAAAGGCCCAGAUUUCAUGGCUAUCCCUGAGGAAUCUGGGUCAGUUCUCUGAUUUGGCCACCAGGGGUCAUUUUACCCCUGUAAAUCACCAUCUGGAGCACUUGGCAUAAAGGCACACACAAAAGGCUACCCUGGACUAAAACAGACACAAACGGAGAACCCUGACACACACACACACACACACACACACACCUCUCUCUCUCUCUCUCUCACACACACACACACACACAUUCUCUCACACACACAGAGUGCGUGCACACACAGAUAAAAAUACAGUAUUGAGACAUAGGGACAGAAAUGCUAUAGGACGCACACAGGGCAACAGCUCCUUCAGUAAUGCCAGGGUCUGAAGAUGUCCACAAGUGCCAACUCUGCAGCCCCUCCGAGCCCCCAACUUGGGUGAAGAGGGAAGGAAUAGCCGGGCACAAUGGCUCAUGCCUGUAAUCCCAGCACUUUGGGACGCAGGCAGAUUCACCUGAGGUCAGGAGUUCGAGACCAGUCUGGCCAACAUAGUGAAACCCUAUCACUACUAAAAAUACAAAAAAUUAGCCGGGUGUGGUGGUGUGCACCUGUAAUCCCAGCUACUUGGGAGGCUGAGGCAGGAGAAUCCUAUGAACCCGGGAGGCAGAGGUUGCAGUGUGCUGAGAUCGCGCCAUUGCACUCCAGCCCAGGUGACAGUGCGAGACCCUGUCUCAACAAAAAAAAAAAAAGAGGGAAGGACUAGUAGGUGGCCCAUUUCCCUUGCUUCCAGCGUGCUGAGAAUGGACAGCCUAUUCCUGUCCUCCCAUCUCACUCUUAACUUCCCCAUAAACUUUUCUCUCCUGGCUGUGGCACAGUUCCCUUUUCCCUCCCCCAGAGAAGCCCCAUCCCCUCUGCCUGAGUGUAUGACUAGUUCCACCCCCCAGUCUCCAUCCCUGCCCC